UGUUUAUUACUAGUUCACAUGGCAAUGUGUUAGUAAUUUUCCAGAUAAUUUAAAAACAGUGUAAUUGAAACAUUGAAUUGAGACGUUAGUGAACUACCUGUGAUAAAGAAAUUAUCCUCCAGAAAUAAUUAAAGAUGUUGUGAUUGGAUAUACAAUAAUAUUUGGUUGAAUUAAACCAUCUAACCAGGGUUGGGUACUUUGAAAAAAAUCUAGAAUUCUGAUUGUAUUCGAAUUGACCCCAACUCUUCAUGUAACCCUCACAUUGUCAAUCAAUUACUUAUUUCUCACAAAUACAUGUUCUUUGUUACUUGUAGGUUUUUCAUCAGAGCAAGAUGUUUGCUCUCCAUCUACCAAUGCGAUGGCACCACCCUAUGCAACCUUCCAGUCCAUGUGCAGUCUGCGUCUGGCCUCUCUGGUUUACACAGUGAUGAUAGCGAAGAGUAUGUUGUACUGCUGUGGGCUCUCUCUCCUGCUGCACCACAGGAACAUGGGAAAUAGCCCCCCUACCUGAAGAAAAGCUACCUGACACGCCAUAUGUCAUCUCUUCAUUAUGAAGAGUUCUGAAAGAGCUCUGGGGACUAGGAGGACAUUUUGGUUUCCAUUUUCCUCUUCCAAUUCCUCACAGUGAGAAAAAAAAGUACUAUUAUUGAUAUCUAUGAGAAGUUUUCGUAUUCCAAACUCAAUUGAAAACGUCUAUAAAAGUUACUGUUAUUUUAAAGGUAAAAAAUAUUAAUGGGUUGCAUGUUUCGUCACAAUAUUUUUCAGAGCUUUCUCUUGAGGACUGGUGGCCGUUCUACUCAAUGCAUUCUCAAUUGGCGCUGAUUAAUAUUUUGUCUAAAGUGCAUUAUAAUGACUGGGAAACUGUGAUAUUACUCAAGUAGACAAAUAAUUAGUAGGAAAACCUUUUGUCAUCAUUGUAAUGUCGCCAGAUUUACUUUAGCUGUAGUAUAACGUUUACUAGCUAUCUAAACGUGAGGGGAGAGCACCGACUGUUACCUAGCUAACAUUAGUAUUGCUAGCAUAAUAAUGCUGACAAAAUUGUUUCCUACUUAAUAUUUGCCCUGUGUAGCAAUAUCAUCAUGUUUCCCAGACUCUAUAGUUUAAUUUAGACCAAAAAUGGAUGCUAAGAAUGACUGGGCACCACUAAAGUUGUUGGCGUCAAUAUCAAUGAUAUACACCACCGUUGAAAAGUUUGGGGUCACUUAGAAAUGUCCUUGUUUUUGAAAGAAUAGCUAUUUUUUUGUCCAUUAAAAUAACAUCACAUUGAUCAGAAAUACAGUGUAGACAUUGUUAAUGUUGUAAAUGACUAUUGUAGCUGGAAAAGGCAGCUUUUUUAUUUAUUUAUUUUAUUUUCUAAAUAAGGCCAGUUUUAUUGCUUCUUUAAUCAGUACAACAGUUUUCAGCCGUGGUAAAAUAAUUGCAAAGGGGUUAUCUAAUGAUCAAUUAGCCUUUUAAAAUGAUAAACGCGGAUUCGCUAACACAACGUGCCAUUGGAACACAGGAGUGAGUGAUGGUUGCUGAUAAUGUGCCUCUGUAUGCCUAUGUAGAUAUUCCACAACAAAUCUGUUUCCAGCUACAAUAGUCAUUUACAACAUUAACAAUGUCUACACUGUAUUUCUGAUCAAUUUGAUGUUAUUUUAAUGGACAAGAAAUGUGAUUUUCUUUCAAAAACAAGAACAUUUCUAAGUGACCCCAAACUUUUUAACGGUCGUGUAUAUAAACCCUGGAUUGCUGAUGCUACGUAUUGGCCAAUGAGAGGCCAAUGAGAGGCGAAACAUUUUACUUUCAGGAAAAUGUUUUUAUGUGUAUAUUUUUUUUAAUGUUUAGCUCACAGAAUAUUAUUUAAAGUAUGCUUUAAGGUGUCUGUAAUAUAAUACACGUCGUAAAAACAAAUUUAGACAUUAGUAAAUGCAUAUAUAUUUAGCUUCCCCCCAAAAAAAUUACAACGGUGGAGGAGUACCAAAAUGGAGGCACGUUGGCUUCAAAACAGUUGAACUAAGCUCAUGAGGUGUUUCUAAUUUAUAUUCUUUAAGAAUCAAUGGGUUAAUGUUUUAAUUUAAAAAAUGUAUGUAGAAACUGCAGAUCGCCCCUUUAAGCAUAGACAGGAGUUUUGAGCACAGAACAAAUCAUGGGUUGCACCUCCUCCAUCACUUGGUCACAUCAAGCCACUGUUCUCAACUUUCUCAAGACACAUUCCGUCAAUGAUUUAUAUAAACACUAGAUGGCUAACAGGUUAGCCAUGAUUUAUAUAACAGGUUAGCCAUCUAGUGUUUAUAUAAAUCAUUGUUCAAAAUGACGGAAUGUUACUGUUUCAUGAAUGAGUGACAAAGAUGUAAAGUAAUGUCAUCACUGAAUUCAUGUUAUGUUUGCUAUUUCAUGCAGCCACAGAAUAAAAAGUACCUAAACAAAUGAUUUUGUAUUCAAAUGUCUACUGAGGUUGACAAAACAAAUCACUGUGGCCCAGCUAUUCAAGGUUCAGAACAACUAUAUUGUGGGUUUAAAACAUUUUGUUUUGAAUUUGUCUUAUAAGUACUUUGAAGAGGAUGUAACCCCACCCCUAACUUACCACCAGUCAGCCUCGGCAGCUGAUGAUGGCCAAUCGAAACUACACCUAAACAACACUGCUUCCCACAGUUCUGCCAAGUUGGUUGGAUGUCCUUUGGGUGGUGGACAAUGCUUGAUACACACGGGAAACUGUUGAGCAUGGAAAACCCAGCAGCGUUGCAGUUCUUGACACAAACCGGUGGGCCUGGCACCUACCCACCAUACCCUCUUCAAAGGCACUUAAAUCUUUUGUCUUGCCCAUUCACCCUCUGAAUGGCACACAUACAGAAUCCAUGUCUCAAUUGUCUCAAAGUUUAGAAAUUCUUUAACUGUCUUCUCCCCUUCAUCUACACUGAUUAAGGUAGAUUUAAAAGGUGACACCAAUAAGGGAUCAUAGCUUUCACCUGGAUUCACCUGGUCAGUAUAUGUCAUGGAAAGAGCAGUUGUUCUCAAUGUUUUGUAUACUCAGUGCACAUAGAAACUAACUUCAUACAUGCACUCUAUAUACAAAAGUGUGUGGACACCCCUUCAAAUUAGUGGAUUCGGCUAUUUCAGCCACACCCAUUGCUGACAGGUGUAUAAAAUCGAACACACAUCCAUCUAAUCUCCAUAGACAAACAUUGGCAGUAUAAUGGUCUUACUGAAGAGCUCAGUGACUUUCAAAGUGGCACCGUCAUAGGAUACCACCUUUCCAAGAAGUCAAUUCGUAAAAUUUCUGCCCUGCUAGAGCUACCCCGGUCAACUGUAAGUGCUGUCAUUGUGAAGUGGAAACAUCUAAGAGAAACAAUGGCUCAGCCGCGAAGUGGUAGGCCACACAA
rnacentral:lncRNA from 8 species